AAUGCGAAUAUGUAUCAAUACGACAAAGAAAAAGGAAUAUAAGAAAAGAGAAUUUAAAUCAGUCACGAAUUAGAUUAAUUAUUUAUGCUAUAUUUCAAGUACUUUCACUCAAUGGGAGUGUGUGGGUGUGUGCGUGUGUGGGUGCGUGGCUUACAUUUAUAGUUAAUUCUGAAAAAAAAAGUAAUAUUAAAGGGAAAAAAUCCAUAUCUUGUAUAUUGGAACUGAUCAUUCCAGUUCGUAUCCGGUUUACAUACAAGGUAAACUGAAAAUCCUUUUUAGAAUACCGAACGAUUAUUGACAUUCAUGUUUAACAAUGAAAAAAUAAAAACCACAGUGAAUUCAAUUGGUUUUGAUAACAAACGCUAUCUCAGUCAUUUCCUAAGUGUUGAAAAAAUAAUCUUACGUUACGUGAUAUGAUUUCUGAAGCGAGUAACAAGUCCAUUUUGUAACUGAACAUAAAGCAUAAUUACACGAGAACCUUGUGGACAAUAUAACCGUUAUUUGAGAGUACAUCAAAUUUCCUCAUACCUUUAAGAUUUUAAAAGUUACUAUUUUUUCUUUUCUUUUCUUUUACGUACUUAAGAAAUUGUGAUUAUUCGAAUACACAAAGAGGUUUCAUGAAGACAAGACUGGAAUGGACAUAUGUAGGUGUAGAGUGUGUACAUUGUGUGUUAUGUAUGCAUGCGUGUGUGAAUGGGAUGGAAAAGAGGGAGGGAGGGAGGCAGAGAGAGAAAGAAGGAAGAAAGUAAGGAAGAAAGGAAGGAGGGGAGAGAGAGAUAGAGAAAGAGAGAGAGAGAGAGAGAGAGAGAGAGAGAGAGUGAGAGAGUUUGUCUUAAUAAAAUCAUUAAAUAAAGGAAUUAAAUAUUUUUUCUCUACACAGCAGCAACAUGACAUAAUGACAAACAACAAAGGAAAAGAAAAACAAUAUCCAUUUAGUAAAUUAUGUCCUUUUAAUAUAAAAUUCACAUCGACUUGUUCCAAAUAUAUAAUACGCGAUGCCACUAACACACAAGACAUUAAAAAAAAAAAAAAUCUUUAGCAUAUCUUGAAAAGUAUCUUAAUGAACUCUUAACUGAUCCUACGCCCCAUGCAAAAAUAAAAUCGUUGAGCCCCAGGACCUCGAAAUCCUUCAUCCAGGAACCCUAGCACUUUACGAGUGUUUGUAGGAUUCCCUUCAUUGAUGACGUCCUGAAGAGCCCUUUUUGCACGGGAGAGGGAUCAGCUGUUUGGAGUACGGCAGUUGGGGUGGUUUCCCGUUUUCUAUGUCUCCGUCUUCCGUUUUCUGUGUCUACGCUUUCCGAUUUCCAUUUCGCCGUUUCCCGUUUUCUUAUUUUGCCGUUUCUCGUUUACUAUGUCUCCGUCUUCCGUUUUCUGUUUUCUACGCUUUUCGUUUUCCAUUUCGCCGUUUCCCGUUUUCUUACUUUGCCG